UCUAAACAUUUUUAGUGUUGUCAACAAAAAAUAUAUUAGAUAACGAUAAUAAAGUUCAUGACGCUGACGUUUGACGUGUGACCUGUCACGAACUAAAUUAAAUUUUUUAUUGAGAUUUUCUUUAAAUUAUCAUUGGAAUUGUAAAAUCACGACUCGACAUGACUGAUUUUAAAUAAUAUUGUCAAUUGUGAGGAUUACUUUUUUUCAUAAAUUUUAACGAAAUUCUAAAAGAAGUACAAGAAAAAUCACAGAUCUAAUGGAACUGUCUUAAAUUCUUAACUGAAGGUAACUUUGCUUGCUUGCUUGCCAGUUUUAAUGGCUUGUGCUAAUACUGAAAUGCACGGUAACGCCUCCCCUACGAUGCAUCCGGCGUCAUCCGGCCUGGCUACCGGCGUGAAUAGGUUCAGCUACCACUGGCAAAGGGCAAGGGCAGGAAAGGGUCUAGGAAGGGUUUCAAAGGAUAGGAAAGGAAAGACUGUAAGGUAACUUUCUAUUUUGUAUUUUUAAAAACAUAACCUCUCAAAAACUUUAAUUGUUUUGUUUUGUGGCGAAUAUACAUACUGUGAACAUGCGCCCCAGAUGCAUGAAGCUUGGCAACGCCGGUGGGGAUCGAUCAGCUGUGAACUGUCAAGAAUCGCCUCGGGACUCUACAAAAAGAUCAUCGAGACUCUCGACACAAACACAGGAUAAUCGAAACCCCAUGUAAUUAAAUUAAGUUCGUAAAAAUGUGUUUAUUUUGUAGUUUAGUUUUUGAUUAAACAAAAUUAAAGUAAACCGCGAGUGUGCCUUACUUGCUCUCCGCAACGGCCACAGUUUCCCUAUAAUUGGCACAAUUGAAAUUUGUCAGAGUGACCAACAUCAAAAGAAAAUAAUCACGCAAAAUGGCAGCCCUCUAGUAGUGGUCACUUAUUUUUCAUUAGCAGUCCAGGUAUAUUUCUAUUCAGUUUAUCGUGCUGCUAGCAUACCAGCGACCGGAUCUGUGCGCACGUACGUUACUCCAUAAGCAACUACGAAUAUAAAGCUUGCAGCUACGCGACCAGUUAGGUCAGAUGUAUGAAGCUUGUAUGGAGAAAAUCGGAAUUGUAUGUCGGCCAUCUUGCUUGGCAAAAUUGGCAGGAGCUAAUAGAAAUGACGUUGACAUUGACUAAUAGAACAUCAUUUGUCCUAUUAUUCUAAGUUUGUUUUUGAUUUCAAUGUAUGCUGUUUCAUGUAUGCUUUAUACUAUUUUAAAUCAAUCACUUUUUUCCCUAAAAAGUUAUUAUCAAUUAAUAUUUUAAUUGAUUUGCAGCAAUUCCAGGUGUCCGGUCACAAUGUUGAAGACAAGAAUCUACACUGUAGAAAUUUGAAUUUGUUGGCCUUUUAUUUGCAUGCAUAGUUUUGCAAUUAACAUUUUUUAAUUAAACAUUUUUUAUUAAUCCUAAUAUAUAUAUUAUCUGUUAUAAUGAAUUAUUAUAUAUUAUGUAUAUAAUUUUAA